ACGGAAGGCAGCAGUGAGGAAUAUUGGGCAAUGGGCGCAAGCCUGACCCAGCAACGCCGCGUGAAGGAAGAAGGCUUUCGGGUUGUAAACUUCUUUUGUCAGGGACGAGUAGAAGACGGUACCUGAUGAAUAAGCCACGGCUAACUACGUGCCAGCAGCCGCGGUAAUACGUAGGUGGCAAGCGUUGUCCGGAUUUACUGGGUGCAAAGGGCGUGUAGCCGGGUCGGCAAGUCAGAUGUGAAAUCCAUGGGCUCAACUCAUGAACUGCAUUUGAAACUGUUGAUCUUGAGUAUCGGAGAGGCAAUCGGAAUUCCUAGUGUAGCGGUGAAAUGCGUAGAUAUUAGGAGGAACACCAGUGGCGAAGGCGGAUUGCUGGACGACAACUGACGGUGAGGCGCGAAAGCGUGGGGAGCAAACAGGAUUAGAUACCCUGGUA
rnacentral:rRNA from 1 species